rnacentral:rRNA from 1 species
GACGAACGCUGGCGGCGUGCCUAAUACAUGCAAGUCGAGCGGACCGAACAGGAGCUUGCUCUUGUUCGGUUAGCGGCGGACGGGUGAGUAACACGUGGGUAACCUGCCCGUAAGACCGGGAUAACUCCGGGAAACCGGAGCUAAUACCGGAUAACACCGAAGACCGCAUGGUCUUUGGUUGAAAGGCGGCUUCGGCUGCCACUUACGGAUGGGCCCGCGGCGCAUUAGCUAGUUGGUGAGGUAACGGCUCACCAAGGCGACGAUGCGUAGCCGGCCUGAGAGGGUGACCGGCCACACUGGGACUGAGACACGGCCCAGACGCCUACGGGAGGCAGCAGUAGGGAAUCUUCCGCAAUGGACGAAAGUCUGACGGAGCGACGCCGCGUGAGCGAAGAAGGUCUUCGGAUCGUAAAGCUCUGUUGUUAGGGAAGAAGAAGCGUCGUUCGAACAGGGCGGCGCGGUGACGGUACCUAACGAGAAAGCCCCGGCUAACUACGUG